CCUUUUUGUUCUGAAAACCAUGAAAAACAUGCAGGGAAAUUCAUUACUUUCAGGUUCACGGGCGAUUCAUGCACAGCCCUUGAAGACUUCGAACAAAAUCCAUACAACAGCAGUCUGAGCGCCAUCAUUCCAUGCCAUGAAUUGCUUUCUGCAAAACCAGUCUUCUCAGAUGUUAGUUCAGGGAUCUACAACCUUGUAGACGAGGUAAAUGCAUGUAUUGGGAACUCAUUUGUAUGUGAAACACUUACUGAUUCAGUCUUUCUUUCUGGCUUGGGAAAAUUACAGGUGAAUA
rnacentral:lncRNA from 1 species